ACAGUGACCUGAGUGCACGCACCCAAGCCGGCAGGCCACUCUAGAAAACCGUAAACCCCUCAGAGAGUCACUGCAGGAAUAGGGGAAAUGGAAGUGAUGAAAUUCAAUAUAGCAUUUAGCUGAAUCAUCAUCUGAGGUUAAGCCCAGUGAACAAUUAGCAGUAUCGGGAGUCUCCUCGUACCUGUCAAAAUCGCACCGACGGGAUUUUGUGCAAAGCACAACAAAUGAGACCCAAGUGCUCAUAGAACAUUCCAAAGAGUCAACAGAGAGAAGUGGAAAGUAUUAGAAACAUGAUUGUGUUUGCAAAGGGAGACAUAAACCCCAAGAACAUUUGUUUCCCUGGACUCUGUUUCUCCUACCAACACUUCCCUGGGACCUCAUUGCCCUCAAAGGAGACUGCCCUGUUCCUUUACUUCUACUUCUGAUCAGUCAAGCAGCUACUCUGUCCCAUCAGCUCCCAUUUUAGGACCAACUGAUUCUCAAACAUUUUAGUAAGGAUGCAAAUGUUUAAUAUGAUUGCAAAAGAGAAAAAAAUGACUACAGUGUAACAUUUUCUGGUAUAGACAUCAGAAUAAAAGUCUGGUCACUUACGACAUACAUUUAAACUCCAGUUUAAAAAGAUUUUUCUUUUUUUUCUGAAAAAUCAGUUGAGAUGAUAAUACACAGUAGGUUAUUUUCUAAUGUCCAUAUCUAACAUAAAAAUCCAGAUUAGGCCGGGCGUGGUGGCUCACGCCUGUAAUCCCAGCACUUUGGGAGGCUGAGGCAGGCGGGUCAUGAGGUCAGGAGUUCGAGACCAGCCCGGCCAACAUGGUGAAACCCCGUCUCUACUAAAAAUACAAAAAAUUAGCUGGGCGUGGUGAUGGGCACCUGUAAUCCCAGCUACUUGGGAGGCUGAGGCAGGAGAAUCAUGUGAACCCUGGAGGGGGAUGUUGCAGUGAGCCGAUAAUGCGCCACUGCAUUCCAGCCUGGGUGACAGAGUGAGACUUUGUCUCGAAAAAAAAAAAAAAAAAGACCCAGAUCAAAUGAUUUUUUUAAAAAUUUGUUUUUUGCCCAAUCAUUUCUGGGAGGUGUAUGUAGUUGUUGUUGUUUUCACUUUUUUUGUGGAAAAUUUUUAGUAGUGGGGGUUCAAAGUUUGUUUAAAUAUGGAAGAUAAUUUUCCAAAAAUAAAGUAUGGACUAAUUAACCU
ensembl:lncRNA HAND2-AS1 HAND2 antisense RNA 1